rnacentral:rRNA from 1 species
UACGUAGGUGACCAGCGUUGUCCGGAUUUACUGGGCGUAAAGAGCGCGCAGGCGGUCGUUCAAGUCGAGUGUGAAAGCCCCCGGCUCAACUGGGGAGGGUCAUUCGAUACUGAUCGACUCGAAGGCAGGAGAGGGAAGUGGAAUUCCCGGUGUAGUGGUGAAAUGCGUAGAUAUCCGGAGGAACCCCAGAGGCGAAGGCGGCGCCCUGGCUCGCAACUGACGCUCAGACACGACAGCAUGGGGAGCGAACGGG